GUGCUUGCUUCGGCAGCACAUAUACUAAAAUUGGAACGAUACAGAGAAGAUUAGCAUGGUCCCUGCGCAAGAAUGACAUGCAAAUUUGUGAAGUUCUAGUCACGGUAUUUU
ensembl:snRNA U6 U6 spliceosomal RNA